UGGGGAAUCUUGGACAAUGGGGGCAACCCUGAUCCAGCCAUGCCGCGUGAGUGAUGAAGGCCUUAGGGUCGUAAAGCUCUUUCGCCUGUGAAGAUAAUGACGGUAGCAGGUAAAGAAACCCCGGCUAACUCCGUGCCAGCAGCCGCGGUAAUACGGAGGGGGUUAGCGUUGUUCGGAAUUACUGGGCGUAAAGCGCACGUAGGCGGACCAGAAAGUUGGGGGUGAAAUCCCGGGGGCUCAACCCCGGAACUGCCUCCAAAACUAUUGGUCUAGAGUUCGAGAGAGGUGAGUGGAAUUCCAAGUGUAGAGGUGAAAUUCGUAGAUAUUUGGAGGAACACCAGUGGCGAAAGGCGGCUCACUGGCUCGAUACUGACGCUGAGGUGCGAAAAGUGUGGGGAGCAAAACAGGAUUAGAUACCCCUGGUAGUCCACACCGUAAAACGAUGAAUGCCAGUCGUCGGGUAGCAUGCUAUUCGGUGACACACCU
rnacentral:rRNA from 1 species